rnacentral:rRNA from 1 species
CCUACGGGAGGCAGCAGUGAGGAAUAUUGGUCAAUGGACGAGAGCCUGAACCAGCCAAGUCGCGUGAAGGAUGAAUGCCCUCUGGGUUGUAAACUUCUUUUGUAAAGGAAUAAAACGAGGCACGUGUGCCUUUUUGCAUGUACUUUAUGAAUAAGGAUCGGCUAACUCCGUGCCAGCAGCCGCGGUAAUACGGAGGAUCCGAGCGUUAUCCGGAUUUAUUGGGUUUAAAGGGAGCGUAGAUGGGUUGUUAAGUCAGUUGUGAAAGUUUGCGGCUCAACCGUAGAAUUGCAAUUGAUACUGGCAGUCGUGAGUACAGGUGAGGUAGGCGGAAUUCGUGGUGUAGCGGUGAAAUGCUUAGAUAUCACGAAGAACCCCGAUGGCGAAGGCAGCUUACUAAACUGUGACUGACGUUGAUGCUCGAAAGUGUGGGGAUCAAACAGGAUUAGAUACCCCAGUAGUC